rnacentral:rRNA from 1 species
GAAUGGCAAGAAGAAAGGUGCUUGUCAUGUGUGUGGGGAUCCUGAUCAUUGGGCUCCUAGUUGCACUAAUCGCUAUGACAAGCGUAAUCCUGGGAAAGGCGGCAAGACCGCUAAUGUUGUCAUUGGAGACACUGACAUGAAGGAUGCUGGACCGCAGGGACUUCAACCGUGCUGAUGGGCAACGGUUCAAGUGCUUCUGUUCGUGGUGUUGGCACGGUCGUUCUGAAGUUUACUUCGGGGAAGAUCGUGCGGCUGAAGAACGUGCAUUAUGUCCCCUCCGUCAAUAAAAAUC